AAAACACCAAACGUUACGUAAAAUGGACCGAUCAACGCUCAAAUGAAAUUCACCGUAAGGAGCACCGGCCUCACUCAAAGAUUGGCAGCUAAAAUAUUACCUCGUUGUUAUUUUCGACACCGACUCAUCGUGAGGGAUGCAGUUAUAUCCGGUUGCCCACCCCAUACUGAAGCUAUACUAAUGAGGUCCAUAGAAGAAACCCCAGAUAAGCCAGCGAAUCUAUGAGGCUAUACCUAAAAAAGGACCUACCCAACAAAAAAAGAAGCCGCGAAAGCGAUAAUAAAAGAAUUGAUAUGAUAGAGUUCGAAGUGCAAGGUACAAAGGACCUGUUACAGCAGGGCAGUCGACGCCUUUCCUUGAG